AUUGAACGCUGGCGGCAGGCCUAACACAUGCAAGUCGAACGGUAACAGGAAGACGCUUGCUUCUUUGCUGACGAGUGGCGGACGGGUGAGUAAUGUCUGGGAAACUGCCUGAUGGAGGGGGAUAACUACUGGAAACGGUAGCUAAUACCGCAUAACGUCGCAAGACCAAAAAGGGGGACCUUCGGGCCUCUUGCCAUCGGAUGUGCCCAGAUGGGAUUAGCUAGUAGGUGGGGUAACGGCUCACCUAGGCGACGAUCCCUAGCUGGUCUGAGAGGAUGACCAGCCACACUGGAACUGAGACACGGUCCAGACUCCUAAGGGAGGCAGCAGUGGGGAAUAUUGCACAAUGGGCGCAAGCCUGAUGCAGCCAUGCCGCGUGUAUGAAGAAGGCCUUCGGGUUGUAAAGUACUUUCAGCGGGGAGGAAGGGAGUAAAGUUAAUACCUUGGCUCAUUGACGUUACCCGCAGAAGAAGCACCGGCUAACUCCGUG
rnacentral:rRNA from 1 species